rnacentral:rRNA from 1 species
ACAGCAGUAGCCGCGGGAAUACGUAGGGUGCAAGCGUUAAUCGGAAUUACUGGGCGUAAAGCGUGCGCAGGCGGUUAUAUAAGACAGAUGUGAAAUCCCCGGGCUCAACCUGGGAACUGCAUUUGUGACUGUAUAGCUAGAGUACGGCAGAGGGGGAUGGAAUUCCGCGUGUAGCAGUGAAAUGCGUAGAUAUGCGGAGGAACACCGAUGGCGAAGGCAAUCCCCUGGGCCUGUACUGACGCUCAUGCACGAAAGCGUGGGGAGCAAACAGGAUUAGAUACCCGAGUAGUCCCUGUCUCUUAUAC